rnacentral:lncRNA from 1 species
UUCANUGGUGGCCGCUGAAAACUUUAUCCUAGUUGUCACUAGAAGAGAAAAGGAUUCCAUUAAAGAAUUCCUAAAUGGUAGUUAUUCAGAAAACCUUCAGAAAAACAGGGAUGCCCUCUGUUCUAUUCUUGACNUGGUGAUUCUUCUAGCCAAAAGAGGUAUUGCAUUUAGAGGAAGGUGAGACAAAUCAGUUAAGAAAGAUAUUGGUAAUUUUGAAUAUUUCAUACAUUGGCUGGCGAAAUACGAUAACAAUCUGUCUGUUCACUUAUCCUCUGCUGCGAAAAACAUGCGCUAUUUAUUACCACAAGUGCAAAAUGAAAUGAUAGAUUGUCUUGGUAAGGUCAUUCGCAGUACCCUUGUUUCAAAAAUCAACAAGAGUAAGUUCCUGCAGCAUCAUCAGGCGGAUGAAACAACUGACGUCUUGACAAUUAAGAGCAACUAUCUGUCUGUGUACGAUACCUCGACAUGUCAUCUGCAAUCAACAAGGUUGAAGUCCAUGAAGUCUUCCUUGGGUUUGUACCUCUACCCAGAACUGAUGAUAUCUGAUCUCCUGCUUGAUGGGGCAUGGAAUAUGAGUGGGGUUAAUUCAGGACUCUGACUUCCAGGCAAGGAUUAAUAUUACUGCCCGAUUUCCAAAAGCAAGAGAAAGGAUAUGCUUAAGGAGAAAAUGGCUGCUCCUUCCGAUACUGAGGAUCUCCUGGCUGACUGUCCGACAGAAGAGCGUGAAGAAGAAAUGCUUAUGAAUGCAAUUAUACUGCAAAUGCUUACCAACUUUGAGCGACACACGCUGGCUAUCACGGUUUGAUUCCAUCAGUACGCUUCUGGUGAAUUACUCCAGGAUAUAUGAUACCGUAUCUGAAGCCAUGAUGCACAGUCAACAGGGAAGGCAUCCCUGAUGACGCGUCCAGUUAUUUACAUGCCAUGAAAUAGUUCCACUUUAUCGUUUCAGCUGUUCUUACCCAAUAUAUCCUAGGAUAUACANGAACUCUUUCAGUUCUACUCCAGUCAAAACCGUGCGACUUGAUUAAAGCCCACCGGGAAGCAAGAAGCCUUGUGUCUAUUAUUCUAAACGGUUUAAGGCAGAGUGAGGAAAAGUUCAAGGUACUGUUCGAAAGUGCCACCACAGUAGCUCAAACAAUCGAUGUGUUGCCUUCAAAACCGAGAACCACCGGCAGACAGGUCCAUCAAGCCAAUGCAUGUGCCGAAUAAAUUGACAAAUUUUCCAGGCUGAAUUACUACUACCCUUUUCUGGACCAUGUUAUCAGGCUCAUGGAAGAGCGAUUUCCAAAAGAUCUCCAGGGUGCUUUACUGGGUGCUCUCCUAAUACCUGCCAAUCUAGGCCAACUGACUCGGUCAAAAGAGGGUAAAAUUAAAUCUGCGUUCACUUAAAGACCUCCCCCUUUCGCAGUCAUUUGAGCAGGAGGUACUUGGAUGGAAAGAAACUAAAAAGAACAAUUACAAUUGCAUCACCUCACUUACAGAGUAUUUCACAUUUUCCGACAGCAUUCUUAUCCAAACAUCUCUACUGUUCUCCAAGUUGUGCUCACUCUAGCUACCUGUCGGANGCUGCUCGUGUGAACAUAGUUUUAGCUCUUUACGUCGGUUGAAGACAUGGUGCCGGUCCUCUAUGGGCUUUAAUCGGCUGAAUGGCCUUUCAUUAGCCUAUGUACAUGAUUACAUUCUCGUAUAGCCACUUGAGAUUUUACAGCGCUGGGAUGCCAGUGGACACAGAAAAAUUGCCAUUGCAUUCAAAAAUACAUAAUAAUAUAAUAAUAUUUUAUUGGUCAGAAAUUUUGCUAACUUCAGCUUUUAAAAAAGCUAAAGUUAGCAAAAUUUCUGACCAAUGACAAUUCUGAGAGAGCUAGUUUGUUUCAUUUAU